rnacentral:lncRNA from 1 species
AUGAAUGGCUCUUAUACCACUCUCAUUCUGUACCCCAACUCACAGCACCUUCUCAUAUGUCUGGGUAGUAGUACCAACCCGUGCUCCUUUUUCUCAUCAGUCCUCCUCCUACAUCCAUAUGCCCUGGAAGAACUAGAGACAGUACCCUCAGAAGAAAUAAUGAAACCCUACCAAGAUGUACCCCCAGAAAUUCUUCAGCUUUAAAUAUGUAGGAGAAUGAAGGAAGCAGUGGAGAAUUGACUGAAAAAUGGAAACAUGAAAACUAUUCACGGAGCCUACAAAUCACAUGUGAACAAAUGUAUCUUACGUUAAAAAGGAGCUGGGUGGCCUGCCUGCCUUACCUGAGGGAACCAAAUGUUUUAUGGCUUUACCUAGUGCCUUAAAGCAACCAAAGGAAGUCCUUCAUCAUAUGAUACACUUGUGGGUUCAUGGGUACUCCCUGUACCCCAUCUUGCUCCAGUACUAUACUUGGAAGGGGAGCUAUUUAUAUUACAUUAAAACUGGCUUAAAAGGAAAUGUUUAGAGAAAGCAACUGUUUCAGGGAAUUCUGAGUCAGGAUGAGAGACUGUUUUCAUUUUCUAUCUGAUGUCUAAGCAGAUAAAUGACUCCCCUCAACUGACAAGGAGAAUUGGAAAGCUCUUAAAGAAUUCUCUAUAUUCAAGGCCCAGAGAACCAAAAUCUGGCAAGUCAGUGAAUUCAAGACAAAUGUUUCCCUUUCUUCUCCCUGUGUAAGCCAAGGGACAAGACAAGAAAUUCAUGGGAGCAUGAUAUCUGGGAUGAUUUCAAGGUUGGUUAUCAUCACCAAUCAUCACUUAUAAGCACCGUCAUACUUAAAAAAAAUAGUUAUUUGGGUUCUUUCCUAUACCUUAGGUUCCUAUCCCAGAAGUCAUUCUUAAAAGUAUAAUUGAAUAAGAAACUUUGGAACUGUAAGAAAUGAUGAGUAGAUUAAUUUAAAAAAAAACAACUUUGAAUUAAUUAAAUACAAAUUUCCAAAACUUAAAA